GAUGAACGCUGGCGGCGUGCCUAAUACAUGCAAGUCGAGCGAACAGACGAGGAGCUUGCUCCUCUGACGUUAGCGGCGGACGGGUGAGUAACACGUGGAUAACCUACCUAUAAGACUGGGGUAACUUCGGGAAACCGUAGCUAAUACCGGAUAAUAUUUUGAACCGCAUGGUUCAAUAGUGAAAGACGGUUUUGCUGUCACUUAUAGAUGGAUCCGCGCUGCAUUAGCUAGUUGGUAAGGUAACGGCUUACCAAGGCAACGAUGCGUAGCCGACCUGAGAGGGUGAUCGGCCACACUGGAACUGAGACACGGUCCAGACUCCUACGGGAGGCAGCAGUAGGGAAUCUUCCGCAAAGGGCGAAAGCCUGACGGAGCAACGCCGCGUGAGUGAUGAAGGUCUUCGGAUCGUAAAACUCUGUUAUUAGGGAAGAACAAAUGUGUAAGUAACUAUGCACGUCUUGACGGUACCUAAUCAGAAAGCCACGGCUAACUACGUG
rnacentral:rRNA from 1 species